AAAGAGCUAAAUAAUUAAAAAAGUUAUUGUAGUAAAAAUAUUUUAAAUAAUUAUUUAGAAAUGAAAUGUUAUUCGUUUUUAAAAAUAUCUAGUUUUUUUAGAAAAAAAUUUAAUUUUAAAUUUAAAAAAUUUAAUAAUUUUAAUUAAUUAAUUUUAUUAAUUUUAAAUUUUAUAUUUUAAGGGAUAAGCUUUAAAUUAAAUUUUUAUAAUUAUUUUAAUUUAUUUUGAAAAUUUUAUAAUUUAUAUUGUUAAUAAAUUUUAUUUUAUUAUAAAUAAUUUCAAUAAAUUUAAAAUUUAAAAUUUAUUUAAUUUUUUAUAAAAAUAUUAUUUUUAAUUUAUAAAAAUAAGUAAUAAUGAUAAAAUUAGUAUAUAAUUUAAUAUUAUUUAUUAAUAAUUUUAAUUUAUUAAUUAAUUAAUUGAAAGGAAUUCGGCAAAUAUUUAUAUUCACUUGUUUAACAAAAACAUGUCUUUUUGUAAUUAAUUUAAAGUCUAAUCUGCCCACUGAUUUAAAUAUUAAAGGGCUGCAGUAUUUUGACUGUACAAAGGUAGCAUAAUCAUUAGUCUCUUAAUUGGUGACUUGUAUGAAAGAUUGGAUGAGAUAUAAGCUGUCUCUUAAUUAAUCUAUAGAAUUUAAUUUUUUAUUUAAAAAGUUAAAAUAAUUUAAAAAGACGAGAAGACCCUAUAGAGUUUGAUAUAUAUAUUUAUAAAAAAUAAUUUAUAUUUAUUUAAUAUUUUUAUUAAUAUAUUUAUUUUAUUGGGGUGAUAAAAAAAUUAAUAAAACUUUUUUUUUUAAAUUAACAUAAAUAAGUGAGUAAUUGAUCCAAUUUUAUUGAUUAUAAGAUUAAAUUACCUUAGGGAUAACAGCGUAAUUUUUUUUUUUAGUUCAAAUAAGAAAAAAAGUUUGCGACCUCGAUGUUGGAUUAAGAUAAAAUUUAAACGCAAAAGUUUAAAAUUU
rnacentral:rRNA from 1 species